UCCCUGGAUAACUAGUGGUUAGGCCUUGGUGUUCUCACCAUCGAGACCCGGGUUCGAUUCCUGGCCAGGGAA